CACGUAGGCACCAAGCGUUGUCCGGAUUUAUUGGGCGUAAAGAGCUCGUAGGCGGUUCAGUAAGUCGGGUGUGAAAACUCUGGGCUCAACCCAGAGCCGCCACCCGAUACUGCUGUGACUUGAGUACGGUAGGGGAGUGGGGAAUUCCUGGUGUAGCGGUGAAAUGCGCAGAUAUCAGGAGGAACACCAGUGGCGAAGGCGCCACUCUGGGCCGUAACUGACGCUGAGGAGCGAAAGCGUGGGUAGCAAACAGG
rnacentral:rRNA from 1 species